ACGAACGCUGGCGGCGUGCCUAAUACAUGCAAGUCGAACGAGUCCUCCCAAUUUGAUUUUAUGCUUGCAUAAAUGAUUUUUGGAUUCGGGACGAGUGGCGAACUGGUGAGUAACACGUGGGUAACCUGCCCUAAAGCAGGGGAUAACAUUUGGAAACAGAUGCUAAUACCGUAUAAUUAGUUGGAACCACAUGGUUCCAACUUGAAAGAUGGCUCUGCUAUCACUUUAGGAUGGACCCGCGGCGUAUUAGCUAGUUGGUGAGAUAAAAGCUCACCAAGGCGAUGAUACGUAGCCGACCUGAGAGGGUAAUCGGCCACAUUGGGACUGAGACACGGCCCAGACUCCUACGGGAGGCAGCAGUAGGGAAUCUUCCACAAUGGACGAAAGUCUGAUGGAGCAACGCCGCGUGAGUGAAGAAGGGUUUCGGCUCGUAAAACUCUGUUGUUAAAGAAGAACAAGUGUAAGAGUAACUGUUUACGCUUUGACGGUAUUUAACCAGAAAGCCACGGCUAACUACGUGCCAGCAGCCGCGGUAAUACGUAGGUGGCAAGCGUUGUCCGGAUUUAUUGGGCGUAAAGCGAGCGCAGGUGGUCUUUUAAGUCUGUUGUGAAAGCCCUCAGCUCAACUGAGGAAGUGCAGCGGAAACUAGGAGACUUGAGUACAGAAGAGGAUAGUGGAAACUCCAUGUGUAGCGGUGAAAUGCGUAGAUAUAUGGAAGAACACCAGUGGCGAAGGCGGCUAUCUGGUCUGUUACUGACACUGAGGCUCGAAAGCAUGGGUAGCGAACAGGAUUAGAUACCCUGGUAGUCCAUGCCGUAAACGAUGAAUACUAGGUGUUGGAGGGUUUCCGCCCUUCAGUGCCGCAGCUAACGCAUUAAGUAUUCCGCCUGGGGAGUACGACCGCAAGGUUGAAACUCAAAGGAAUUGACGGGGGCCCGCACAAGUGGUGGAGCAUGUGGUUUAAUUCGAUGCUACGCGAAGAACCUUACCAGGUCUUGACAUCUUCUGCCAACCUAAGAGAUUAGGCGUUCCCUUCGGGGACAGAAUGACAGGUGGUGCAUGGUUGUCGUCAGCUCGUGUCGUGAGAUGUUGGGUUAAGUCCCGCAACGAGCGCAACCCUUAUUAUUAGUUGCCAGCAUUAAGUUGGGCACUCUAGUGAGACUGCCGGUGAUAAACCGGAGGAAGGUGGGGAUGACGUCAAAUCAUCAUGCCCCUUAUGACCUGGGCUACACACGUGCUACAAUGGAUGGUACAACGAGUCGCGAAACCGCGAGGUCAAGCUAAUCUCUUAAAGCCAUUCUCAGUUCGGAUUGCAGGCUGCAACUCGCCUGCAUGAAGUUGGAAUCACUAGUAAUCGUGGAUCAGCAUGCCACGGUGAAUACGUUCCCGGGCCUUGUACUCACCGCCCGUCA
rnacentral:rRNA from 1 species